rnacentral:rRNA from 1 species
GGGCCCGCACAAGCGGUGGAGCAUGUGGUUUAAUUCGAUGCAACGCGAAGAACCUUACCUACUCUUGACAUCCAGAGAACUCGCUAGAGAUAGCUUGGUGCCUUCGGGAACUCUGAGACAGGUGCUGCAUGGCUGUCGUCAGCUCGUGUUGUGAAAUGUUGGGUUAAGUCCCGCAACGAGCGCAACCCUUAUCCUUGUUUGCCAGCACGUAAUGGUGGGAACUCCAGGGAGACUGCCGGUGAUAAACCGGAGGAAGGUGGGGACGACGUCAAGUCAUCAUGGCCCUUACGAGUAGGGCUACACACGUGCUACAAUGGCGCAUACAGAGGGCAGCCAACCAGCGAUGGUGAGCGAAUCCCAAAAAGUGCGUCGUAGUCCGGAUUGGAGUCUGCAACUCGACUCCAUGAAGUCGGAAUCGCUAGUAAUCG